AAGUCGUAACAAGGUCUCCGUAGGUGAACCUGCGGAGGGAUCAUUUGAGAAUCUGGGCCGGCCUCCGCGUCGACUCGGACUUGACUCUUCAGCCUGUGGAAAUGAGCUGUGCUUCGGCGUCCCUUUGUGGCGCCGCCUUCAUGCCGUCCGGCUUGUCUUGUCUGUCAUGAAUUGAGAAAUCAAAACUUUCAACAAAGGAUCUCUUGGCUCUC
rnacentral:misc_RNA from 1 species